AUUGAACGCUGGCGGCAGGCCUAACACAUGCAAGUCGAACGAGUGGCGGACGGGUGAGUAAUGUCUGGGAAACUGCCUGAUGGAGGGGGAUAACUACUGGAAACGGUAGCUAAUACCGCAUACCAUCGGAUGUGCCCAGAUGGGAUUAGCUAGUAGGUGGGGUAAAGGCUCACCUAGGCGACGAUCCCUAGCUGGUCUGAGAGGAUGACCGGCCACACUGGAACUGGAACACGGUCCAGACUCCUAGGGGAGGCGGCAGUGGGGAAUAUUCGACAAUGAGCGCAAUCCUGAUGCAGCCAUGCCGCUUAUAUACAGAAGUCCUUCGGGUUGUAAGGUACGUUCAGCGGGGCGACGUUACCCGCAGAGGAAGCACCGGCUAACUCCGUGCCAGCAGCCGCGGUAAUUC
rnacentral:rRNA from 1 species